GCCUACGGCCAUAAUACCCUGAACGCGCCUGAUCUCGGAAGCUAAGCAGGGUCGGGCCUGAUUAGUACCUGCAUUGGAGACCGCCUGGGAAUACCGGGUGCUGUAGACU
ensembl:rRNA 5S_rRNA 5S ribosomal RNA